rnacentral:rRNA from 1 species
GUGGGGAAUCUUAGACAAUGGGGGAAACCCUGAUCUAGCCAUGCCGCGUGAGCGAUGAAGGCCUUAGGGUUGUAAAGCUCUUUCAGCUGGGAAGAUAAUGACGGUACCAGCAGAAGAAGCCCCGGCUAACUCCGUGCCAGCAGCCGCGGUAAUACGGAGGGGGCUAGCGUUGUUCGGAAUUACUGGGCGUAAAGCGCGCGUAGGCGGACCAGAAAGUUGGAGGUGAAAUCCCAGGGCUCAACCUUGGAACUGCCUUCAAAACUCCUGGUCUGGAGUUCGAGAGAGGUGAGUGGAAUUCCGAGUGUAGAGGUGAAAUUCGUAGAUAUUCGGAAGAACACCAGUGGCGAAGGCGACUCACUGGCCCAAUACUGACGCUGAGGCGCGAAAGCGUGGGGAGCAAACAGGAUUAGAAACCCUUGUAGUCC